UUCUCGGAAACAGAUUGGCUGUCGCUAUAUAAUGUGCGAGGUGGUGUUCAAAACUCAUAUUUCACCGUGAAGCUUGCAGAUUGUUGAAGGCGUACACUCAAGUAUAUACUGCAAACAGAUUGUUGAAGGCGUACACUCAAGUAUAUACUGCAAACAGCAAUGUCUGACAGUGGAGGUCAAAAAGACUUGGACAACCAUGCCAAUCAGUGCAACCCAAACAACUCGGAAUACAGUGGCCACGAUUCGGGUUACUCCGGGACCGGCGACAAGGCCGACCUCGACAACCACGCCAACCAGUGCAACCCCAACAACUCCGAGUAUCAGGGCCACCAGUCAGGCUACGGUGGGUCUGGUGGCAAGUGAUGACGUGGCAGUCGCUGACUGGUUAGCACAGCCAAUGUAAACACGUGUGUGGAGCACGUGGCAUGGCGAACAGUAGUGAUUAUUCUGUGGCAUGGCUGUCCAGUCAAAAUAUUAAAAA